GGUCAUCACUGCCAUGUCAAGAGUCUCUGACCAGAAAACACCUCUUUCCACCCAAGAACCUAAUGAUUUGGUGAAUGAAGCCCUUGUCAUCUAGCCUCUUGGCAGACUAACGGGACAGAUGUCAUCGAUGUGAAUGUCAGAAAUAUUUACACAAUGUCUGGAAAAGUUUGGGAAAGGCUCAGAAUGGAAUGUGAGCUACCCUGAGUUUGAUUCCCAGCAAAAGCAACAGAAUGUCUGGCCAGCAGCGGAUCCUCCGGUUGCUUACAGAAGAAACUCAAGUUAAACACGGGUUGGCCAAAUGACUUAAUCUGUGGUUUCUCAGUCUCCCAUUCUCAGUUCUCAGAAGAAACAUGUUUAAAAUGUUUUCUUAAAGCAGGUCACCAGGACACAUGCCUACAUGCCUGUAAUCCCAGCAUUGGAAGGCAGAGAAGGAAGGAUCAGAGCUCAUGGUCAUCCUUGGCUAUAUAGUGAAUGCGAAGGCAGCCUGAGCUACACAGAAGAUUGGAG
rnacentral:lncRNA from 1 species